AUUGAACGCUGGCGGCAGGCCUAACACAUGCAAGUCGAGCGGAUGAAGGGAGCUUGCUCCUGGAUUCAGCGGCGGACGGGUGAGUAAUGCCUAGGAAUCUGCCUGGUAGUGGGGGAUAACGUCCGGAAACGGGCGCUAAUACCGCAUACGUCCUGAGGGAGAAAGUGGGGGAUCUUCGGACCUCACGCUAUCAGAUGAGCCUAGGUCGGAUUAGCUAGUUGGUGGGGUAAAGGCCUACCAAGGCGACGAUCCGUAACUGGUCUGAGAGGAUGAUCAGUCGCACUGGAACUGAGACACGGUCCAGACUCCUACGGGAGGCAGCAGUGGGGAAUAUUGGACAAUGGGCGAAAGCCUGAUCCAGCCAUGCCGCGUGUGUGAAGAAGGUCUUCGGAUUGUAAAGCACUUUAAGUUGGGAGGAAGGGCAGUAGGUUAAUACCUUGCUGUUUUGACGUUACCAACAGAAUAAGCACCGGCUAACUUCGUG
rnacentral:rRNA from 1 species